GUACGGGGGGGGCAAGCGUUGUUCGGAAUUACUGGGGGUAAAGGGCUCGUAGGCGGCCAACUAAGUCAGACGUGAAAUCCCUCGGCUUAACCGGGGAACUGCGUCUGAUACUGGAUGGCUUGAGUUUGGGAGAGGGAUGCGGAAUUCCAGGUGUAGCGGUGAAAUGCGUAGAUAUCUGGAGGAACACCGGUGGCGAAGGCGGCAUCCUGGACCAACACUGACACUGAUGAGCGAAAGCCAGGGGAGCAAACGGG
rnacentral:rRNA from 1 species